rnacentral:misc_RNA from 1 species
GAUGAAGAACGCAGCGAAAUGCGAUAAGUAAUGUGAAUUGCAGAAUUCAGUGAAUCAUCGAAUCUUUGAAUGCACCUUGCGCUCCUUGGUAUUCCAAGGAGCAUGCCUGUUUGAGUAUCAUUAAAUUAUCAACUGUACCAAUUUGGUUGCAGAUUGGAUGUGGGAGAUUUUGCAGGCUUUUGAUUUCUCUUUGAGAAAAACGGUCAGCUCUCCUGAAAUAUAUUAGCAUUGCCUUUGUUGGUUCAUUAGGUGUGAUAAUUUAUCUGCAUCUUCACAUGGUACCUUCAUUUGUAAAGGUGAUAUUGCUUCUAAUUGUCUUUUGGACAAAAAAAAAAUUAAUUUAAUGUAUGAAAAACUUGAUCUCAAAUCAGGCAGGACUACCCGCUGAACUUAAGCAUAUCAAUAAGCGGAGGA